GAUGAACGCUGGCGGCGUGCCUAAUACAUGCAAGUCGAGCGAACAGAUGAGGAGCUUGCUCCUCUGACGUUAGCGGCGGACGGGUGAGUAACACGUGGAUAACCUACCUAUAAGACUGGGAUAACUUCGGGAAACCGGAGCUAAUACCGGAUAAUAUAUUGAACCGCAUGGUUCAAUAGUGAAAGACGGUUUUGCUGUCACUUAUAGAUGGAUCCGCGCCGCAUUAGCUAGUUGGUAAGGUAACGGCUUACCAAGGCAACGAUGCUUAGCCGACCUGAGAGGGUGAUCGGCCACACUGGAACUGAGACCCGGUCCAGACUCCUACGGGAGGCAGCAGUAGGGAAUCUUCCGCAAUGGGCGAAAGCCUGACGGAGCAACGCGGCGUGGGGGAUGAGGGUCUUCGGAUCGUAAAACUCUGUUAUUAGGGAAGAACAAAUGUGUAAGUAACUAUGCACGUCUUGACGGUACCUAAUCAGAAAGCCACGGCUAACUACGUG
rnacentral:rRNA from 1 species